rnacentral:misc_RNA from 1 species
AAGACUAUAGACCUGCGGAGUACCUGCGGAAGGAUCAUUAACGUAUCUAUGAUGGGGUGCGGAGCGCCCUGCUCCGGUCGAACGGCCGUGCAGCGGGUGCGCCGCCCCCGUCCCACCUCACAAACCCACUGUGAACAUUCACCGGUGGAGGGGGCUCGGUCUGCGCCGUGUCCCCGAUGCCGAAUACCCAAACUCCAAUUGCAAAGAACGUCGUGCGGACUCGGUGCCGCCUAAAACAUG